rnacentral:rRNA from 1 species
UACUCGAGUGGCGAACGGGUGAGUAACACGUGGGUGAUCUGCCCUGCACUCUGGGAUAAGCCUGGGAAACUGGGUCUAAUACCGGAUAGGACCAUGCUUUAGUGUGUGUGGUGGAAAGUUUUUUCGGUGUAGGGUGAGCCCGCGGCCUAUCAGCUUGUUGGUGGGGUAAUGGCCUACCAAGGCGGCGACGGGUAGCCGGACUGAGAGGUUGGUCGGCCACAUUGGGACUGAGAUACGGCCCAG